GCUGGUGUGGCUCAGUGGAUAGAGCGUCAGCCUGUGGACUGGAGGGUCCCGGGUUUGAUUCCUGGUCAAGAGCA
rfam:Myotis brandtii contig291307, whole genome shotgun sequence.